rnacentral:lncRNA from 1 species
CUCAAAACUCAAUUCAGAAUCUGAAGGAACGGGUCUUUGAGUCAGAUUUUUUAUUCUUUUGUGUAUAGUGUAUCAAAUGCCAAUUCAAAGUGAAAGUGUUAUGAAUUUUCUCAUUUUCAGCUUUUCCAACUUAAAUCCUGAUGGUUUUGUUUGAGGUUAUGUUCUCACGAGGCCAAGUUCGUUAGUUUUCUUUUCUUUCUCUGUACGAAAAAUUACUCUUUUUCGCUCUCUUGUCCUUUCAAUUAUCAAUAUUAAUUCAUCAUGGAUAUCGACCCAGUUGCUGCGUUAUUGAAUGAAGUCGACGCUCAGGGCCUGGACCCUUUACCAGCGGACAGAAGAGCCUUGUUGCGUACCUUAUGUAUUUACAUCAUGGCAAAAUUCAGGAACAGCACUGAAGAAGCGUUUCGCAAAAUAUGUUUAGAAUUAAUGAAGAAAGUAGUCAAUGCAAAACUAAUUGAUCCAGUUCGAGCUGCAGAAUAUUUAGUUAUAAGUUAUACUAUCUUUGCUUUUACACUCAUUUUAUAUAUUUUUAUAAUGAAUCACGUAGUCUUACACGAUUGUUGUCCAGCUUUAGAGCCCGACGAUGAAGUCUCUAUUCCAAUAGAUUGGGCUUCGGCUUGGAAAGCAUACGAACUGUCCCAAAUUGAGAUCCAAGCGGAGGAAAAAAGGAAAUUCUUACAAUUACAAAAAUCAUUCUCACGUCCCAGGAAACAACCCGAGGAGACCCCUCUUUCACUUUAUAGAUUUUCACCCCGAGCUGCUAGUGACUUCUUAAUUGCGGAAAAUAUGUCUUUCGAUCCCAAUCAUAAUGCUUUUGUUUCGGUCACUUGGCACUCCCAUCACCCUGAUGGUAAAUUUGGGGCUUGUUACGACCCAUAUAAUUGUAAAUAUUGCUACGAAACGGUAGAAACACAAUUUUUACUGGGGACUCUUCCAAAAUGGCUUUGUUUCCACAGCCCGACUCUUCCUCCUCUUGCUCAUACAGAUCCACAGAAAUGCAUGUUCUGCUAUAAGCAAUAUUGUUUUAUGGUUCUGGAUGUUUAUCCAUUUAAAGAGGAUAAUUUUUCUCACCCUGAGUUUCCCUUUCUAGGCGAUACAGUUCGUAGGCCACCCUCCGAUUGUUGUUAG